AAAAAGAUAAGCUAAAUUAAGCUACUAGGUUCAUACCCUAUUUAUAAAGGUUUUAACCCUUUUCUUUUUA
rnacentral:tRNA from 1 species